GAUGAACGCUGGCGGCGUGCCUAAUACAUGCAAGUCGAGCGAACAGACGAGGAGCUUGCUCCUCUGACGUUAGCGGCGGACGGGUGAGUAACACGUGGAUAACCUACCUAUAAGACUGGGAUAACUUCGGGAAACCGGAGCUAAUACCGGAUAAUAUAUUGAACCGCAUGGUUCAAUAGUGAAAGACGGUUUUGCUGUCACUUAUAGAUGGAUCCGCGCCGCAUUAGCUAGUUGGUAAGGUAACGGCUUACCAAGGCAACGAUGCGUAGCCGACCUGAGAGGGUGAUCGGCCCCACUGGAACUGGGAAACGGUCCAGACUCCUACGGGAGGCAGCCGUGGGGAAUAUUGGCCCAUGGGCGGAAGCCUGAUCCAGCCAUCCCGCGUGGGGGAAGAAGGCCUUCGGGUUCUAAAGCCCUUUUUUUGGGAAAAAAAAGAAUCUGGUUAAAACCCCGCUGUUCUUACGGUACCCAAAGAAUAAGCCCCGGCUAACUUCGUG
rnacentral:rRNA from 1 species